rfam:TPA: Bos taurus chromosome 4, whole genome shotgun sequence.
UCCCUGGUGACUCAGAUGGUAAAGAAUCUGCCUGCAAUGCAGGAGACCUGGGUUCGAUUCCUGAGUCAGUGAG